rnacentral:snRNA from 1 species
GGGCUGCUCACUUCAGCAGCUCAUAUACUAACAUCGGAACAAUACAGAAAAGAUUAGCAUGGCCCCUUUACAAGCACGACACACAAAUACGUGAAAUGUUCCAUAUUUUC